rnacentral:rRNA from 1 species
UGAGGAAUAUUGCGCAAUGGGGGCAACCCUGACGCAGCAACGCCGCGUGAGUGAGGAAGGUUUUCGGACCGUAAAGCUCUGUCGAGCGGGAAGAAAUGUAUCGUGGCUAAUAUCCAUGAUAUUUGACGGUACCGCUAAAGGAAGCACCGGCUAACUCCGUGCCAGCAGACGCGGUAAUACGGGGGGUGCCAGCGUUGUUCGGAAUUAUUGGGCGUAAAGAGCGUGUAGGCGGCUGAAUAAGUCAGAUGUGAAAUCCUGGGGCUUAACCCAGGAA